rnacentral:rRNA from 1 species
GACGAACGCUGGCGGCGUGCUUAACACAUGCAAGUCGAGCGGCAAGGCCCUUUCGGGGGUACACGAGCGGCGAACGGGUGAGUAACACGUGGGUGACCUGCCCUCAGCUCUGGGAUAAGCCUGGGAAACCGGGUCUAAUACUGGAUAUGACUCCAUGACGCAUGUUGUGGGGUGAAAGCCUUGUGCGGCUGAGGAUGGGCCCGCGGCCUAUCAGCUUGUCGGUGGGGUGAUGGCCUACCAAGGCGACGACGGGUAGCCGGCCUGAGAGGGCGACCGGCCACACUGGGACUGAGACACGGCCCAGACUCCUACGGGAGGCAGCAGUGGGGAAUCUUGCGCAAUGGGCGAAAGCCUGACGCAGCGACGCCGCGUGAGAGAUGACGGCC